rnacentral:rRNA from 1 species
AUUGAACGCUGGCGGCAGGCCUAACACAUGCAAGUCGAACGGUAACAGGAAGCAGCUUGCUGCUUUGCUGACGAGUGGCGGACGGGUGAGUAAUGUCUGGGAAACUGCCUGAUGGAGGGGGAUAACUACUGGAAACGGUAGCUAAUACCGCAUAACGUCGCAAGACCAAAGAGGGGGACCUUCGGGCCUCUUGCCAUCGGAUGUGCCCAGAUGGGAUUAGCUUGUUGGUGGGGUAACGGCUCACCAAGGCGACGAUCCCUAGCUGGUCUGAGCGGAUGACACGCCACACUGGAACGGGAACAGGGACACUCCUCCUACGGGAGGAGGCGGGGGGGAAUAUUGCAAAAUGGGGGCAAUCCGGAUGCACCCAUCCGGGGUGUAUAAAGAUGUCUUUGGGUUUGUAAAGUAUUUCCAGGGGGGGGAAAGGGAGUAAAUUUAAUACCUUUCCUAAUUGACGUUCCCCGAAAAAGAAGCACCGGCAAACCCCGUG